rnacentral:rRNA from 1 species
CCGCGUGGGGGAUGAAGGUCUUCGGAUUGUAAACCCCUGUCGAACGGGACGAAAGACUCGGGAGCUAAUCAUCUCGAGAGUGACGGUACCGUUAAAGGAAGCCACGGCUAACUCUGUGCCAGCAGCCGCGGUAAUACAGAGGUGGCAAGCGUUGUUCGGAAUUACUGGGCGUAAAGGGCGCGUAGGCGGCCAUCUAAGUCAGACGUGAAAUCCCCCGGCUUAACCUGGGAACUGCGUCUGAUACUGGACGGCUUGAGUAUGGGAGAGGGAUGUAGAAUUCCAGGUGUAGCGGUGAAAUGCGUAGAUAUCUGGAGGAAUACCGGUGGCGAAGGCGGCAUCCUGGACCAUUACUGACGCUGAGGCGCGAAAGCUAGGGGAGCAAACGGGAUUAGAUACCCCGGUAGUCCUAGCCCUAAACGAUGAAUGCUUGGUGUGGCGGGUAUCGAUCCCUGCCGUGCCGAAGCUAACGCAUUAAGCAUUCCGCCUGGGGAGUACGGUCGCAAGGCUG